CCGAUGUCAAGGAAAGAAACGACUACCUGACUUUUAGAAGACACCUGAAGAUCCUGUAAGACAGGCGCCGACACGGAAAACAGCUGCGAACCGUGAGGCAGAUGUACUGAUACAGUUUGUCUUCCGCGACUGAGGGAAGUGAUGGAGGAUGUAAUGAAGGUGAUUAAUACUAAGGAAGUUGAGGAAGGAGCCACAUUCCACAAUGUCUGCAGAAUUCUCACAAAAAGUGGGUGAGACUGGAUUUCUGCCCUGUGUUUACUCUCUGUAGAAAUACCUCCCCCC